rnacentral:rRNA from 1 species
UACGUAGGGUGCGAGCGUUGUCCGGAAUUAUUGGGCGUAAAGAGCUUGUAGGCGGUUUGUCGCGUCUGCCGUGAAAAUCCGAGGCUCAACCUCGGACUUGCGGUGGGUACGGGCAGACUAGAGUGUGGUAGGGGAGACUGGAAUUCCUGGUGUAGCGGUGAAAUGCGCAGAUAUCAGGAGGAACACCGGUGGCGAAGGCGGGUCUCUGGGCCGAAACUGACGCUGAGGAGCGAAAGCGUGGGGAGCGAACAGG